rnacentral:misc_RNA from 1 species
UGGUUCUGGCAUCGAUGAAGAACGCAGCGAAAUGCGAUAAGUAGUGUGAAUUGCAGAAUUCAGUGAAUCAUCGAAUCUUUGAACGCACAUUGCGCCCUUUGGUAUUCCUUAGGGCAUGCCUGUUCGAGCGUCAUUUCAAACCUCAAGCCCCGCUUGGUGUUGGGCGUUUGUCCCCCGGGACUCGCCUCAAAUGCAUUGGCAGCCGGUACGUUGGCUUCGAGCGCAGCAGAAAAGCGCCUGGCGUCUGACGGUACCUGGCUCUCCAGGAAGCCUCCACCCCAAGUUUGACCUCGGAUCAGGUAGGGAUACCCGCUGA